AUGCACGCUGGCGGCGUGCUUAACACAUGCAAGUCGCACGAAGCACUUUAUUUGAUUUCCUUCGGGACUGAUUAUUUUGUGACUGAGUGGCGGACGGGUGAGUAACGCGUGGGUAACCUGCCUUGUACAGGGGGAUAACAGUUGGAAACGGCUGCUAAUACCGCAUAAGCGCACAGCAUCGCAUGAUGCAGUGUGAAAAACUCCGGUGGUAUAAGAUGGACCCGCGUUGGAUUAGCUAGUUGGUGAGGUAACGGCCCACCAAGGCGACGAUCCAUAGCCGACCUGAGAGGGUGACCGGCCACAUUGGGACUGAGACACGGCCCAAACUCCUACGGGAGGCAGCAGUGGGGAAUAUUGCACAAUGGGCGAAAGCCUGAUGCAGCGACGCCGCGUGAGCGAAGAAGUAUUUCGGUAUGUAAAGCUCUAUCAGCAGGGAGGAUAAUGACGGUACCUGACUAAGAAGCACCGGCUAAAUACGUG
rnacentral:rRNA from 1 species